AAGUCGUAACAAGUUCCGUAGGUGAACCUGCGGAAGGAUCAUUAACACGUAUCCAACGUUAACUGGUAAAUCAUCGCCGAACAGUUUUGAUUCAGAGAAGGGUGUACGGUAGUGCGAGGCAAUUGACAUGGCAUUCCUCUGCCUGUUAGUGUCUGAAAGUGUCACUAGCUAUGUACGGAUGGCGCAGUAACGAUCGCUGGAGGCCGACACGGCCGGCGACCAGGUCGCUGGGCUACGGCCCCUGAUCACAACCUUUGCAUGAAAACGGGCGUGCGGCCACCCCUAAUGCUUGAACAACUGUUAACAAUUAA
rnacentral:misc_RNA from 1 species